GGGACAGAAGCUCAGUGGUUGAGCGCUCGAUUGCAACUUGCUUAGUCAUCAUCGAGCGGUCGCGUGUUCGAUCCACGCUUGUCCCU